UUCAUUGUCAAGAAAAGGAACUAAUACAAAUUUAGCUGAAUAAAUAUAUUUUUUGUUUUCCUCUUUAAGGCUUCAGUCAGGUGGAUAAAAAACAGUUUUCUAAACUCAAAGACUUCAUCAGAAGACUGGGCAUCGUGAGUAAAGAGAAAAGAAAUCAGCAGGCGUUUAAAGUUUUCUACACAACCCCACGCUCUCAGGCAUACAAAGAACUGACUGGAAUGGACUCGGAGCAGAACACUGUGGAGGAUCUGAUGCUGAGAAUUUGUCAGGAGGAGAGAGAUGGGCGGAGCAUGGGCGUGUGUUUAUUUACUGGUGAAGGAAUGCCGCUGACAGACGACCCUUUCUUCAACACCUGGUCACUGAAGAAAAGGUACAUUGAGAGUGGAAGCAAACUGUACGCUAUAUUCACACCAAAGGAAAACCUGAGAGAGUCUCCUCACUGCCAGACCCAAAACGACGUCAGCAACGAAGGACCCAACACCAUCUGCUGCCACAUUAUGCUCAAGGGAAAUUAUGACAUCAAUGUGGACCUGGAGCAAAAUACCCUGACUGACCUGAGAACAAGACUUUCAGCGGAAAGUGGAAUACCGGCGCAUGUGUUAUACCUGAAGGAUGUGAAUAACAGUAAUUACAGUGAGACUCUGAGCAAUCUUGAGAUCAGUGAAGAUGAACCGGUGAAUUUCACCUUGUCCUCUUUUCAUGAUUCUGUAACGGCGUUUCCUGAGAUGUUCCACAGUGACCUUAAACCUUCAGUUCCACAGACACAAAAGGGACUCAGCAUCUUCUUCUCAACACUGCGAUCCAUUAGUAAAAAAUAUUCUGUAAGCAAGAAAACUAUUGCUUACAUCCGAAAGCUGAGUGGAUGUAAUGCUCUGGCCCAAAGUCUUUACCAGCUCCUCUGCAGAACUACACCUGUUACCAAAGUCCAGAAGGUAGCCAUUGUGGAAGGGUUGUACUUCCUCUUUAGGGAACUGUUGCCAAGAAAUGGGGACAAGAUAAUUGAAGAUGGGGAUGUUUUUGAACAUUCAACUGUUUGCUGGGCUUAUCUUUUAUCUCAGGCAGAGAACGAGAGCUCAGACUGUGAAAUAUAUAAAGAUGUAUCUCUGAAGGCUCCGUCUACAGACCAGCGUCUGUCUGAGCCAGUGCGAGUUCCUGGAGUGACUGAGGUCUUUGACAGGGUUUAUGUCCAGGACAAAAUAAAGGACGGUGAGAAAAUCCCCAACUGUACUGAUGAGAACCUGAGAGAGUCAUCCAUUCAAAGAGCGACAGAUAUUGAGAAGAUUCUGCUCAGUCUCCCACCAUCAAUCAAUACCUUCCCACUGUGGACUUCAUAUAAUGCUGAUCAACCAAUCAGCAGGUAUGA
rnacentral:lncRNA from 1 species